AGGUCUAAGGGUGGUUUAUCGUUAGGGUGGAGGCAACAUACUGUAGUAACUUUACAUAGUUAUUCACAACAUGACAUUGAUAUUGUGAUACAGGAUACGGAUGACGAAUUUCCCUAGCGUUUUAUUGGGUUUUAUAGGCAUAUUGAAGAACGACUCAGAGAAAGAACAUGGGAUCUUCUUCGACAAUUGGGUCAGGACCAAAGCUUACCAUAACUAGUCAUGGGUCAUUUUAAUGAGAUUGUUUAUUCUUUUGAGAAGUAAGGUGGUCGUUGCCGGGCG
rnacentral:lncRNA from 1 species